UAGAUACCCUGGUAGUCCACGCCGUAAACGAUGUCAACUAGCCGUUGGAAGCCUUGAGCUUUUAGUGGCGCAGCUAACGCAUUAAGUUGACCGCCUGGGGAGUACGGUCGCAAGACUGAAACUCAAAGGAAUUGACGGGGGCCCGCACAAGCGGUGGAGCAUGUGGUUUAAUUCGAAGCAACGCGAAGAACCUUACCAGGCCUUGACAUCCAAUGAACUUUCCAGAGAUGGAUUGGUGCCUUCGGGAACA
rnacentral:rRNA from 1 species